AGAACGAACGCUUGCGACGUGCCUAAGAAAUGCAAGUCGAACGGACCAGCAGCAAUGCUGGUUAGUGGCGAACGGUCGCGUAACACGUGGGCAACCUGCCCUGAAGCGGGGGACAACAACUCGAAAGAGUUGCUAAUACCGCAUGUGUAUCGGAAUGGCAUCAUUCAGGAUACAAAGCCGCAAGGCACUUCAGGAUGGGCCCGCGGCCUAUCAGCUAGUUGGUGAGGUAACGGCUCACCAAGGCUUCGACGGGUAGCUGGUCUGAGAGGACGAUCAGCCGGAUUGGGACUGAGAUACGGCCCAGACUCCUACGGGGGGCAGCAAUUAGGAAUCUUGCACAAUGGGCGAAAGCCUGAUGCAGCGACGUCGCGUGAAGGAUGAAAUCUUUCGGGAUGUAACUUCUUUACCAAGGAAGAAUAAUGACGGUACCUGGUGAAUAAGCCCGGCUAACUACGCGCCAGCAGCCGCGGU
rnacentral:rRNA from 1 species